AUGGGAAGAAGAAAAUCAAAGUUUUUAAAAGAGAUGUGAAGAUAUUGUUUAGAGAGAUAUUUAGUAUGACGUCUUAAAAACUAUUUUUCUAUUUUCAAAGCAUUAGUUCUGUAUUUUUUAUUGGCAUCUCUACAGAUGAUUUUGCAGUUUUGAAAGUGAUUAUGAAAACUAGAUUGUAAGUUAGGUUCCAUGAUGACGUUCUUCAGAUACAUAAGCGAUGCCAUGGUGAGGACACUGCCCCCAUCUUACUCAUCCUUGACUGCCCUUGGCCCAAUACAAGACUGGCUCUUGGUAGUUAAGAUGAUAGAGAAUUCUUUUUAAAAAACAAAAUGUGGAGAGAUUUUGAAAAUCGUGCCUUUGAGCAGUCACCAGAUACAUCUUGAUUAAUGUAGUAGUAAAUAUAACCAAUAUUUUAAUAAGUAGAAACACUAGGAAGAAAAAAGAUGACAGUGUCCACUGUAGUCAGUGAAAGUCUGGAUUUAUUUUAUUCUAUUUUGUGUUUUGUCAGCAUACUUUGCAACUAGAUUUAUUUAGAGUCCUCGAAAAUGUUUGUUGAAGGACCUAUGUGUCUUACUUUCUAGUUUUUCUUAAACUAUUGUACUAUUAAUAUCUUAACCAUGUAGCUAUUCAAAAAAACUUAUUAAAUACCAAGUCCACUUUUGGUUCCAUUUUGAGUUUAGAAAAUAAAUACACGCGCACUGUCGACUCCCCUUGGCAAUGGUGGUGGUGAAGCCUUCUGUAUACAGACAACUGAUUCAGAUUGGUUACUUAGAAUCUGAGAA
rnacentral:lncRNA from 1 species